GUCCGAGAUGUGUGUGCAGAGUGCAGUCUCUUCUGGUUUCCCAGGCGUGUCUGCCUCUCUGAAGGUUUAGCUCUCCCUCCCCGUCUUCUGUGCUCUUAUUAUGAAAAUGUGUUCUGAUAGGUGAACAAAUGAACAUGGGUAACAGCCAUCCGAAGGAACAACGCUGGUGGAUGGUGUAAGAAGUAACUAUACAAUAUUCUUGUAUAUGUACACAACUACAGAUUCACAUAAAUUGCUAUAAUACUGUGGACAUUAACAGCAUUUGGUAAAUGUUAACAACUUUUUCACAAAAAUGACUCGUAUUGAUGUAUUUUGAUUUAUUUUUUAUUGGUUAUUUUUUAUAUACAUUUCAAAUGUUAUUCCUUUCCUUGUUCCCUGUCUGUAAGCCUUCUGUCCCACCCCCCCUCCCUUCUUCUAUGAGGGUGUUCCCCCUCCCAAACUAUCCCCCUUAAGCCUUUGCACCCUGCCAUUCCCCUACAUUGGGUGGUCCAUCCAUGGCAGGACCAAGGGCUUCUCCCAUUGGUGCCCAACAAGGCAUUCCUCUGCUACAUAUGUAGCUGGAGCAUGGGUCUGUCCCAUGUGUACUCUUUGGGUAGUGGUUUAGUCCUUGGGUUACGUUUUGAAAAGGACUUUUGGUGUUGGAUGCAUGGUCACCUCCCCUUUUCAUUUUAAUUUUUUUUCCAGGUGAGAUCAAAGUAUGGUAGACAUACAUUGAGAAGUGUCCCACUCGCACUCUCUCGCCAGCAAGAAACACGCGGGUACAUAGAAAUCCUUGCUGUGACCAAACUUUAUUUUAAUCUUAAGGAGGAAACCUCGGCGCGCCAACAUGGGCAGAGGGAUGACUCCAGGGACCCGAACCACGAGAGCUGAAUCUUCAUGUAACCAGGAUCAGCAAGUCUCAGCAACCACUCAGGCAGCUGGCACACUCUUGUAGCAUCCUGUAGAAAAAACACAAACAUUCCCUCUUCCCCAUAUAAAAUAUCUGGACAGGAUCAUGUCAAUAUGUGGAUCUCUCUAUUUCACCUAGGCAGAAGUAUGCCUAGUUGUAGGGUGCCAUAAACUUUGGCAUCCAAAUUUUAAAAUUGAAAUAAAAGGAGCAUUAUUUAGCAUACAGGGAUGACUCCCCCUAUUUAUUUAUUAAGAUAUAGUAAGGAUAUUAUUUAUCAAGUUAAGUCCUCGAGGAUUAAAUUGAGCACACUGAGCACUUGUAUUUAUAAAUUGUCUUGUAUACCAAAUUAUUGUCUCCAGCAUUAUUGUUUUGGAUAUAUAAAGAAUGAGAUUUUUUGACUAAUUGUUCCUAUGUAAGGCCUAUAAUCUGUCUGGUAUCAAUGUCCUCUCUUGCUAAAGAGCCCAGGCAAUCCAGUUUGAGUUCUUAAAUGUCCUAUAAAGGAACAGUACUUAGUGCUCUUAACCACUAAGCCAUUUCUCUAGUACCUCACAAACUUUAUUUACCUAAACAUAAGCAUUAAUUAGAAAUGUCAAAUCCUGUAAAUAUUAUCCAAUUUCAGUCUUACUAGAAAUCCCUGAGCUGGCAGGGUGAGGCUGGGAGUUGAAAGUAAGCAAAUGGAGUCUUCCUCUUUUCAUGAGGGUGUGUUAUCAACUCCAUUACCAUUUUUAAAGAGCUGGGUCUAUGGUUUUGUUUAGUUGUCUGAGCCAGAGCACUGAAAGGACAGUGAGUUGUCAGACAAUUUACACUGAAAUCACUCACUGAUUUCAUGUAGAAAACUUGUCUCUAAUAAAGCAUUAAGUAAUUGAAAUCAAUUGUACACCACAAGCCACACAUUGGCUAUCAGUAUGUGAAUUGAAAGUUUGAUUUAAAAACAGUGGCUAAACUACGGAAUUUAAUAAUCUGUGUUGAAGCAACAGAAACUCAAGAUAAUAAACAAGUGAUCCAAUCAUACAUGUAGCCUUUUCAUUAGAUGAACCACCUAUAAAUAGAGUAAGCGCAUUUCCUAUGGGCUGUAUGCACAAAUAUAC
ensembl:lncRNA